rnacentral:rRNA from 1 species
GAUGAACGCUGACAGAAUGCUUAACACAUGCAAGUCUUUGGCCAAGCUGUGCUUGCACUGCCUAGCCAAGGCGGACGGGUGAGUAACGCGUAAGGAACUUGCCCUGCUGUCAGGGAUAACAGACGGAAACGACUGAUCAGACCUGGUAACGUCAGACGGCCUCACGUCGAGCCUGAUGAAAAGGGAUGCUGCAGGAGAGCCUUGCGUCCUAUUAGCGUGUUGGUGGGGUAACGGCCCACCAAGGCGAUGAUAGGUAGCCGGCCUGAGAGGGUGGACGGCCACGAGGGGACUGAGAUGCGGCCCUGACGCCUACGGGAGGCAGCAGUGGAGAAUAUUGGACCAUGGGGGCAUCCCUGAUCCAGCAAUUCUGUGUGUACGAUGAAGGUUUUCGGAUUGUAAAGUGCUUUCAUCAGGGAAGAAAAAAAUGACGGUACCUGCAGAAGAAGCGACGGCUAACUACGUG